rnacentral:ncRNA from 1 species
CCUAUAAACAUCCUAAGGUAGCGAAAUUCCUUGUCGGGUAAGUUCCGACCUGCACGAAUGGCGUAACGACUUCUCCACUGUCUCAACCGCGAACUCGGCGAAAUUGCACUACGAGUAAAGAUGCUCGUUACGCGCAGCAGGACGGAAAGACCCCGGGACCUUCACUAUAGCUUGGUAUUGGUGAUCGGGACGGCUUGUGUAGGAUAGGUGGGAGACUGUGAAGCAUGCACGCCAGUGUGUGUGGAGUCAUCGUUGAAAUACCACUCUGGUCGUUCUGGUUAUCUAACCUCGGUCCGUGAUCCGGAUCAGGGACAUUGCCUGGUGGGUAGUUUAACUGGGGCGGUUGCCUCCUAAAAUGUAACGGAGGCGCUCAAAGGUUCCCUCAGCCUGGUUGGCAAUCAGGUGGCGAGUGCAAGUGUACAAGGGAGCUUGACUGCGAGACAGACAUGUCGAGCAGGGACGAAAGUCGGAACUAGUGACCCGACGGUGGCUUGUGGAAGCGCCGUCGCUCAACGGAUAAAAGGUACCCCGGGGAUAACAGGCUGAUCUUCCCCAAGAGUCCAUAUCGACGGAUGGUUUGGCACCUCGAUGUCGGCUCGUCGCAUCCUGGGGGUGGAGUAUCUCCCAAGGGUUGGGCUGUUCGCCCAUUAAAGCGGCACGCGAGCUGGGUUUAGAACGUCGUGAGACAGUUCGGUCCCUAUCCGCUGUGCGCGUAGGAAACUUGAGAGAGGCUGACCCUAGUACGAGAGGACCGGGUUGGACGAACCUCUGGUGUGUGAGUUGUUCUGCCAAGGGCACCGCUCAUUAGCUACGUUCGGAAGUGAUAACCGCUGAAAGCAUCUAAGCGGGAAGCAUGUCUCAAGAUGAGGUUUCCAUGAACUUCGGUUCGAGAGGCUCCCAGUAGACUACUGGGUUGAUAGGCCAGAUGUGGAAGUGCAGCAAUGCAUGGAGCUGACUGGUACUAAUAAGCCGAUGACUUGAUACA